UACGUAGGGGGCUAGCGUUGUCCGGAAUCAUUGGGCGUAAAGCGCGUGUAGGCGGCCCGGUAAGUCCGCUGUGAAAGUCCAGGGCUCAACCCUGGAAUGCCGGUGGAUACUGUCGGGCUAGAGUCCGGAAGAGGCGAGUGGAAUUCCUGGUGUAGCGGUGAAAUGCGCAGAUAUCAGGAGGAACACCAAUGGCGAAGGCAGCUCGCUGGGACGGUACUGACGCUGAGACGCGAAAGCGUGGGGAGCAAACAGG
rnacentral:rRNA from 1 species